rnacentral:rRNA from 1 species
AUGAGGGCGGCCACGGAGGAGGACAGGGCGGAGAGCCUGGCAGCUGCGCUCGAGGCGGUCGCGCCCUUGGAGGACGCCUUCGCCCAUUGCUCUAGCGGGAAGGCCUUCUUCGCCGGAGACUCUAUCGGGUACCUCGAUCUCGCGCUCGGGUGCAACCUCUUCUGGAUCGAGGCGCUGCGCCACAUGUUCGGUGUCACGGUCAUCGACGCCGGCAGGACUCCGCGCCUGACCGCCUGGGCUGAGAGGUUCGUGGAGACGGAGGCUGCAAAGAAGGCGGCACCGCCCAUGGAAAGCAUGUUGGAGGAGGCCGGGAAGCUGCGGGCUAUGUGGGCUGCUGCGGCUGCUGCAAAGUAA